CCUACGGGUGGCUGCAGUGGGGAAUAUUGGGCAAUGGACGCAAGUCUGACCCAGCAACGCCGCGUGAAGGAAGAAGGCUUUCGGGUUGUAAACUUCUUUUAUGGGGGAAGAGCAGAAGACGCUACCCCUUGAAUAAGCCACGGCCAACUAUGUGCCAGCAGCCGCGGCAAUACGUAGGUGGCAAGCGUUGUCCGGAUUUACUGGGUGUAAAGGGCGUGCAGCUGGGCCGACAAGUCAGAUGUGAAAUCCGCGGGCUUAACCCGGGAGCUGCAUUUGAAACUAGUGGUCUUGAGUACCGAAGAGGUCAUCGGAAUUCCUUGUGUAGCGGUGAAAUGCGUAGAUAUAAGGAAGAACACCAGUGGCGAAGGCGGAUGACUGGACGGCGACUGACGGUGAGGCGCGAAAGCGUGGGGAGCGAACAGGAUUAGAUACCCUUGUAGUC
rnacentral:rRNA from 1 species